AUGAAGAUCUCAUUUCUCCUGGCUUUUUCUCUUCCAGGGGAGAUCACAAUGAUGUUUUAUGUUUAAAAGACAUGCUUUCUUAUUUUGGGGGAAUGAACAAGAGGAAACCAAGGUUUCUGUUAGUGUCUGUUAAUAUACUUCAUUGCUAUAGGCUCUAUUUGUUACAUAUGGCUCCUUCUUGGAAAAAAAGAAAAAAGGAAAAAAAAAAAAGAGAAGUAGUCAUUUGGAAAAGAGUUACCAUUCUUUAUAUCUCAGAUACGUCACACUUCAUUACGAUACUCUCUGUAAUGUGCAAAAGCACUGACUUUCCUGGGCAUGAUAAUGAAGAUGAAACGUGCUUUAAUCAGUUUGGGCUAAUCUGUGUGUUUUGGAGGCACUCAGAACAUCAAACAAGUUCAGGCAAUCUAGAAAGAUUAAGGGCUGAAUCACAGAUACAUGAAUGAGAUUUUUUUUUCUUCUCCCUCCAAAACCACUGUCCAGUUGGUAUAGAUCUGAAACUCAUUAGGAAAAUAAUGCUUAUACAGGAGAUUUUUUUUUUUCAUGUGCAAGUAUUAAAAAACACCAACAGGUUGUGAAAUCAGGUGCCUCAAGCAUCAUUACGAAAAGAGCCGAUAUUUCAUCCUUAGUGCAAAAAAUCCCAGAGGGCAAAAUGACAAGUGACAAAAGUGGAACUGAUGGGGCAAGCCUGGGGGAGAAGCACAAAAAGGGAAGAUGGGCAACAGCAGGCAGUGCAGAUACCAACAUGCUACUUCACUUCGCGUGGAGACUGGGUUGAGAGUUGGGAGUAAAAUCGGAUUCCUUCCCAAGAUGUUUGUCCUUCUCUUGGAUGGUGCCUCCAUCCCUGCAAUGCUAACCCCAAGAGGUGUUCACAGCUUCACGCCAGGAGCCCCUUUCCAGCAGGCGCGAGCAGCCCGCGCUGCAGCGGUGGGUGUAGUAGAGCUAGCGAGGGCUAGGUGGCAUACUGGAUUCGUUGGAGUCACCUCCAAGGACUUCCUUCCACAUCCAGCAAGGGCUAGGCUGAAUGAAAUUAUCUCUUUGCAGGCAGCUUUCUGUGUCAUUAAAAAAACAAAGCAACCGAUGCUUCCAGUGAAGACAGCAUCAAUGUUUUCCUUUCUAACAUGCCUCAUGGGGGUAUCAAUUUUAAACCGCAUGUAGGAAUGGAGUCUCCCCUCACCAGAUCAGCGCCUGGGUGUUCUGCGUGCCUGGGUUGGCUCCGUUUCACGUUAUCAAGGCUCGGCUGCCAAGAUUUCCAGCGAUGCCUGGUGACUGGGGUGCCUCCAUCUCCCAUUGCUACCCAAGUCACCUUGCAAGGUGUGGGGGACAUCAGCUCCUGCGCAUCGCAAGGCCCUUUUGCAAGAGCCAGAGCUUAAAGCCUGUACUGGAUAUUUAAACGAUAGAGGCAGAACUUGCUCAGGGGACAAAUUCCUCUUGCCUGAGCACAGACGAAAUUAGUUUCUUUUGCUAACAGGGAAAAGACAGAUGUUUCAUCACGAGCAGACAGCAGAGGUUCCCCUUUGCGCCUUCCCGGCCGGUGCAGAGAGCUGAGGCCUUUGCCUUGCUCGAAGGGCCUGAGCGGGGUCCUUGAGCGUGGGCAAGUGGCUCGGUGUCCCCCAGGCACACACGUGGGGCCAUUUUCCCCCUCCCAGCCCCGCGGGCACGGACCUGUGUACGCGGUUGUGCUUGCUUGGGAUGUCAGGGCAGCGCAGUUUGUCUCUGGGGAGGAGGCUGGCCUAGUUCCAGAGGCUCGGGAGGGCCGGGGAGGAGUUGCAAAAGCAGCUUCAUCUUCCCCUGUCUGCCACAGGGCCAGUGAGGCUCCUGUAUAUCAGAGGGAACCGGGUGGGUUCAGACAGCUGCCUUCGAAAGCGGUUGGGAAUCUUCUUCUCGAGGUGCUCGGCAAGCUCAAAAUAUCCCCAUGAUUCGCUCGCUUUCCACCUCCACCUUCCCCCGCUCCGUGCUGCCCACAUUCUUUUUUUGUUAUUAAUUGUUUUAGAUUCAGACAAUGCCUCUCCUUUGGCCUCAGGCAGGCGCACUGGCUGAAUCACUAAAACACUUUAACACACAUCUGCUGAGGCAGCAAAAAUCGGUAUCUCUCCUGCUCUCCUUUUUUUUUUUUUUUCCUCUCCCUUUCUCUGCCUCUCCAGUAUCACAGUCAAAAGGUGACCGAGGCACAAAGUAGAGCUGGAAUUGGCUGAAAAGAGAAAGUGCUCCCAGCUGAAGGGCAGAAAACACCUGCAUCUAAUAAAAACAAAUGAGAAACAUCAUCAAUAACCAGUAGAAAAAAAAUGGCAUAAAUAAAAGGAAAAGUAUAAAUUCAGAUGGUCUCUGGGAAACUUGAACAGAUGCCCCAGCCUGCUGGCUUCUGGAGGUAUUGUCUAGUUAUUUGCCUUGUGAUGCAGUGAAAUACAGAGGGUUGCCAUGUCUCUCUGGCAUAGAGUAAGGAGCUUUAGAAAGCUUGCUGAUGCCACGGUGAUGGGUGGCUCAUAAAUAAGUCAGAUUGUUUCCCUGGGGGGAGAGGGGCGUCUCCUGGAAGAAGCAAGCAUCCUCUGAAGGGCUUUCCUUUUGUCGCCUGUAAAGCAUUGCACAUUUUGCUGGGAGCGUUAGGAAAAGGGUUUAGGGAAGCAAGCAUGCUUGGAAUUGACCAAGCAAACAGAGGUUUCUUACAGGUGUGCUCACUGUGAUGUGGGGAGGCACUUUGCCUCCAUGAUCAUGUACCUGCUGCCUGGCCCCAUGAACUCGUGAUAAGCGGUGGUUUAUCUGCAGGAGAUGACUCCUGACUGUGACCAUCAGCUCCCUCCAAGCCUGCUGUGUCUGCUCACUCCUGAAGAGGUGUAAUUUUCAUAGAGAGCCCUGGGGUGGAUAUCUAGCUGCACCAUUGAGAGGAGAGGCUAUGGAUGGCUUGGAGGCUUCCUAAAGAACCUCCUGCUGUGUGAUCAGAGGUCUGUGUAUAGCCUCCUUUAUUAAAGUUGUGCCACUCAAAGGACAGAAACUCACCCGAAGCCUCAUCCCUGAAGGUCUGCAGAGCACUGUAAGGUCAGGAAUACGUGUAGUCUUUUGGCGUCCUGCUGAGACGGUGGGGACAACAGCUUCUGUGAUGGGGACGUAGGCUCAUGCAAGACUUGAUGGAGACGGACCCAAACCAGAGGGGCCCACAAACGCUGCUUGGAUACAUCCUCUUCUUAGCCGCCAGUAACUGGCCUGGAUGUGGGCUCAUGAUUAUAUCCCUGAAGUAAUUCCCUGGACUUCCCCUUGCCCCCACUCUAUAAUUAUUCAGAGUUAUUUUCUAAUGGCUGUCCUGCCACUUGUUUUCUUUCUGGCUUUCUUCUUCUUCUGAGUAAUGAAAACACAUCAGUGGCCUUUUUCCAAGAACAGUUAUUAAAGCAAUCACCCCCGCCUGUCCCCCUCCCCUCGUUUAAAGCCUAUCAAGCUCCAUUGGAUUUGUGGCCAGCGUUUGCAUCGAAUUACUAUUUUGGGGUUGCCAAAAAAAGCACAACCAGAAAGUUUUUGGGGAAAAAAGUAAAAAAAGUUUAAAAAAAAAAAAAAAGUGGAGGAGAGAGAAAGUUAUAAUCUUCCCAGAUCGCUAUUAAUUACGUUUACAAUAAUUACACUGUUCCGGACGGUUACACUGCUGACAUGCAGGAGGAUCAGCUCUUGCGGGGGAACCUGUGUGUGCAUCUCAUCUUUGCCUUUCCUCUAGAACAAGACUCGCAGCUGAUGCUGGGAUGCCUCCAUCCCCAGCAGGCUGGAGAGGAUAAUGAGGGUGAAUGGUUUCACCCACUCAGCGGCAAAGCUUGCUCCCAUGAAUGGGUCCCAGCUCAGCUUGCCAGUUUGCCUUCUCCUCUGAGGCCACAUUUCAGUGCAAUGUUUUGUUGGCCCAUUCCCCUGACACUCCUGAGCAUGAAAGAGGCUGGAUGCAGGAUGCAGGACUGGGGGUAACUGUCUAAAGCUGUUGUCCAAGACAAAGAAGAAUCAAGGUACACCACCACCUGGUCAUGCGCUGAGGUUGCCUCCAUUCAAGUCUCCCAGGAAUUUGCCCUUGCAUGGAUGGGUCUAAUGCUCAACCACAGAGAUUUCGAGCAGCCCUGGCGUGUCAGACCAUUGCUGAUUUAUCCAGAGGGGUGUAGCGACUAGGGAAGAGAGCAGAGAUGUCAAAAAGCAUCAAGGUCUCUUCCAACCAGCCCCUUCUCCUGAUGACUUUCUGAGGCCACCAUCCUCCCCAGACUCCUGCAGUGCUGGGAUCCCUAACAAGUCUCUCUCUAGCACCACAGUGCAAGUUAUCAUCUCCUCUCCUUGCCUCUGCUUGACAGUUCCUACUUGAAACCCCCCUCUCUUGUCCCAAGACAGAGGUGUGGGGAUGUAAAUACUCAUCAGAAGCAAAACCUCAAAGGCAUUAAAAUAGCACAUUUUGACAGUGACCCAGUUAUCUGUG